CCAAUAACCCAAUCCAAAGCAGUGGAAGAAACGACCACAGCAACAACAGACAACAGACAAUGUCCACAAAUCCCACGCAAGUCAAGGUACAGGGGCUACUACUAGCAUAAUACUAAGAAUGGAAUAUGAAAUAAUGAAAUAAAAUGAAAUAUGAAAUAACGAAAUAACAAAGGUUAGAAGUCACCGGAUUUCGCUUGGAGCUGCGGCUGCUGGAGACGGAGCGGCGGGUGCAGACGGAGUUGCGGCUGAAGACCGAGCUUCGGCUGUUGGGG
rnacentral:lncRNA from 1 species